CCUACGGGUGGCAGCAGUCGAGAAUCAUUCACAAUGGGGGAAACCCUGAUGGUGCGACGCCGCGUGGGGGAAUGAAGGUCUUCGGAUUGUAAACCUCUUUUGUCAGGGAACAAAGACUGGGACGCGUCCCCGGAUGAGUGUACCUGAAGAAAAAGCAUCGGCUAACUCCGUGCCAGCAGCCGCGGUAAUACGGAGGAUGCGAGCGUUAUCCGGAUUUAUUGGGUUUAAAGGGUGCGCAGGCGGUCUGUUAAGUCAGCGGUCAAAGCCCGGGGCUCAACCCCGGCCCGCCGUUGAAACUGGCAGUCUCGAGUUGGAGAGAAGUAUGCGGAAUGCGCGGUGUAGCGGUGAAAUGCAUAGAUAUCGCGCAGAACUCCGAUUGCGAAGGCAGCAUGCCGGCUCCACACUGACGCUGAGGCACGAAAGCGUGGGUAUCGAACAGGAUUAGAUACCCCGGUAGU
rnacentral:rRNA from 1 species